CUGGCCCUGUGGAGUAUCCCUUUCUCUAGGCAUCUCUUCUUGGCUACAAUACUGUCUCCCUCCUCCCUGUACUUUCUGACCUAGUUCAUCUGAGACCUCAUGGCUUUUUAAUUCAUUCAUGGCUCUUAGCCCUCCAUGAUUUUUGUUUUGUUGUGUUUUUUUUUUCAGGUUAAUGUUGGCUUUGACUGUAUGUCUCACCCAAACCUUAGGAGUCGGGCUCUCUGUUCAACUGGUACCAGAAGCAACUCGUCCAUGAGCAAACCUAACCCCUCCAUAAGCUGGUUAAUUAUCAUCUCUGAUUUUUUUCUCCUCUGGAAGAGCACACAUGUACAGUCUGAGAUAAGAGCUGAUAUUUUUGCUUGUUGGUAUGUGCUGUAUCUCCUGCCCACAGGAGCCUCUGGUAUAUGGUGGCCAUUCUGGAAUAUUUGUUUUGAAAUGACUGGUACCACUUAUAAGAGCAGCAGCUAUCACCAGGGCAGUUUCCCUGUCCAAGCCCCACUCCCACAACACCCACCCCUGCUCCCAUCCAGAGCAGACCAACAUUUCUGUUUUAGGAGACUCCAAGUGGAACUGAUGAGAGCUCUUUACCCCACAGGGAAAUCCUUGAACCAAACUGGAAGAAGAGGAAAAGGCCUUUCCAUGUACAGUAAUUUUAUCAAGACUUCUUGGACCUUGAACAUCCUGCUUUUGAGUACAUAAAUGAAAAACACACACAAAACAUGACAUUUUUGAGUCUUACUGUUUAGUUUUGGACUGUUCUUAAAGUAAUGUGAUAUAUAAC
rnacentral:lncRNA from 1 species